GUCAGCCAUGGGGGAGUCCAGUGCCCUUAACCACCAUGGCACCUGCCCAUCCCUAAAAUGUGUUUGUUCAGCACAGUUACAGUGUGAUUUUUCAGUAGGUGAAUACAAUGUGUAAUGAAGAAAUCCUGGUAGAGGACCCAUCAUCUCAAUCGCUUGGAACAUUAUAUCCACCACCAGGAGUCAUUUUCCUUCUCUACUUCAAUCAGGGCAUGUGUGUUCCUCAGAGAGAGAAGAAAAGUGAGGAAGCAACCCCCAGGGAAUGGACGUGUAGCAGUCCCUUGGGAUUUGGGGUACCCACACCCACACCAGGCCCAGGACUUGAACUAUGUAGUCAGCCA